AUGGCACCACUAUCAUGCUCUCCCAACAUAUUUGAAGAGGUAUGCAUAGCGAGUAAUUUACCUAUUUUCAGAUUUGGUCGCAACUUUAUUAUUGAUGCAUCUAUAAGAAAUAUUCUCAUAAGUAAUUUUGAGAGACCAAUGAAGAAGGGUAAUUUACUUGUUAGCAAUAAAAUUGUUAUGGAACAUAUCGGUCAAACCAUUGCACCAUUUAUAAAGACCGAUAAUGACUUAUUGUUACAACCAAAGCUUUCCCCGUUGCUUUAUCUAAAGUUGCUUUAUCUAAAGUUCAUAUCUAGUUGGGUAGCUUUGCUUAUUUCGUACUUGGCUUGUGUAAUGCCCUCGAUGCAGCUAUAG
rnacentral:rRNA from 1 species